UGGGAAUUUUCCGCAAUGGGCGAAAGCCUGACGGAGCAAUGCCGCGUGGAGGUGGAAGGCCUACGGGUCGUCAACUUCUUUUCUCGGAGAAGAAACAAUGACGGUAUCUGAGGAAUAAGCAUCGGCUAACUCUGUGACAG
rnacentral:rRNA from 1 species